AUUGAACGCUGGCGGCAGGCCUAACACAUGCAAGUCGAGCGGAUGAAGAGAGCUUGCUCUCUGAUUCAGCGGCGGACGGGUGAGUAAUGCCUAGGAAUCUGACUGGUAGUGGGGGACAACGAUUCGAAAGGAACGCUAAUACAGCAUACGUCCUACGGGAGAAAGUGGGAGAUCUUCGGACCUCACGCUAUAUGUUAAACCUGGUUACGGUGAGCUAGGUGGUGAGGUAAAGGCUCAACAAGGCGACGAUAGGUAACUGGUCUGAGAGGAUGAGCAGUCAAACUGGAACUGAGACACGGUCGAGACUCCGACGGGAGGAAGCAGUGGGGAAUGUUGGACAAUGGGCGGAAGCCUGAUCCAGCGAUGCCGCGUGUGUGAAGAAGGUCUUCGGAUUGUAAAGCACUUUAAGUUGGGAGGAAGGGCAGUGAGUUAAUACCUUGCUGUUUUGACGUUACCGACAGAAUAAGCACCGGCUAACUUCGUGCCAGCAGCCGCAGUAAGAC
rnacentral:rRNA from 1 species